rnacentral:SRP_RNA from 1 species
UGGUCCCCAUGCGGCGCGCCGCGGCAAAACCCCGCCAGGGCCGGAAGGCAGCAACGGUAUGCCGUCUGGCGCGGGCGCGAGGGUGUC